AACGUAGGACGCAAGCGUUAUCCGGAGUUACUGGGCGUAAAGAGCGUGUAGGCGGUGACGUAAGUUACCUAUGAAAGCUCCCGGCUAAACUGGGAGAGGAUAGGUGAUACUGCGUGACUAGAGAGUGAAAGAGGACAGUGGAAUUCCGGGUGUAGUGGUGAAAUGCGUAGAUAUCCGGAGGAACACCGGUGGCGAAGGCGACUGUCUGGUUCACAACUGACGCUAAGACGCGAAAGCAUGGGUAGCGAACGGG
rnacentral:misc_RNA from 1 species